CUCGCCUACACGAAGUCGGAAUCGCUAGUAAUGCGGAUCAGCAUGCCGCGGUGAAUACGUUCCCGGGCCUUGUACACACCGCCCGUCACACCAUGGGAGUUUGUAACGCCCAAAGUCGGUGGCCUAACCUUUAUGGAGGGAGCCGCCUAAGGCGGGACAGAUGACUGGGGUGAAGUCGUAACAAGGUACC
rnacentral:rRNA from 1 species